rnacentral:tRNA from 1 species
GGAAGAUUGCCAGAGCGGUCGAAUGGGAUCGGUUGCUAACCGAUUAGAGGUUAGUCCCUCUCAAGAGUUCGAAUCUCUUAUCUUCCCCCA